AAGUCGUUGUUCCGCUUUUCCAUGCUGCGCCGUGCGGCUUUGCGAUUGGCCACGACCGCCCACAGCGGCGCUGGUGUCGCUGCUGCAGCGGGUGGUGCUGGAGGUUCUGGUCAACAUAUGAAUUCGCAGCAACGCGUGCUGGAGAUCAACUCCCCGAUGUCCCUCCUGCGCAUGUGCUACCGAAGUAUUGACAUUAAAGUUAAGUCUCGCCACGCCCGCAGCUUUCUCAAGAAGCGGCUGAUGGAGCAGUGGGCAGAGAAGUGCAAGGAGACGAACCCCGACAAGCAGCGCUUCUACAUGGACUUGGCCGGCUCCUUUUUACAGGCACUGCACACGGAGCGGAACCCCAAGCCGGGCAAGGCCGUGAAUUUUCAGCUGUCUCGGCAAGUCGCGUACGAGCAGAAGCUGGCAGACCGGGAGAAGAGCGCCGCUGCGCGGCGGGUGCGGCGCAUGUCGAAGGAAGCGAAGGCACAGGAUCAUUAGUCGCCUACCUCUUUGAUGCAUCCCGUUUCCUGCGUGCGCGUUCCCUCGCUGAAACUUCGCUCUCUGUUUGCCUUCCUCUAUAUCUGUCAUCUCAGCAAGACACGAGAGCGAACAUCGUGUUUCGUUCGCAAUGGUGUUCGCUCUCGCUCUCUCAUCGGGCUCCGCUCACAUGUGCUGCUGCUCGAGCCAAGCAACUACAGCAUGGGUGCAUUUGUGCGGUAUGCAUGUGUGUGCCUCCGUGCGAGGUACAGUAUCAAACCCUCUGUGGACGCGUGAAAGCAACUCUUUCCACACAGAGAAAAACCGCAGAAGCGUAUCACCAGCAAUCAAAAGCAUGGACGGUGUACGCAUGCGCUUACCCAUUGGAUACCACGUCUUCGAUGAAGCCGCACUUUUCCCAACCGUUUCCAUCCUUUCCUUCUCCCAACCGUGCUGUACACCCCUGCACUCGCAAAUAAACGCGCGCGCACACGCACACGCGCUAAUGUGGCACAAACGGUGCGGUCUGCGUACCCUUGCCAUAUUUAUACAUGUAUGUACGCUAAAAGCACACAUGCAUCAGUAUCAGUAACACCGCAUCGGCACGGAGAGCCAUCACGUGUGAGUUCCUCACCUCUUUGUUCCUACAUUGCUUUGUGUUUGACUCCGCUGCCGCCGCGCACCCCACCCCUUCGUCGUCCUUUUCGCACUGCAGC
rnacentral:misc_RNA from 1 species